GACUACUGGGGUAUCUAAGCCCGUUCGCUACCCACGCUUUCGCUCCUCAGUGUCAGGUGACGCCCAGAAGACUGUCUUCACCAUUGGCGUUCCACACGAUAUCAACGCAUUUCACUGCUACACCGUGUGUUCCAUCUUCCCCUGCGCACCUCUAGUCAGGCAGUUUUGAGUACGGUUUCCAGGUUGAGCCUGGAUAUUUCAUACCCAACUUACCAAACCACCUACGAGCUCUUUACGCCCAGUAAAUCCGGAUAACGUUCGCACCCUACGUAUUACCGCGGCUGCUGGCACGUAGUUAGCCGGUGCUUAUUCAUCAGGUACCUUCAAGAUUAUUCCCUGAUAAAAGAAGUUUACGAUCCGAAAACCUUCAUCCUUCACGCAGUAUUGCUGCAUCAGACUUUCGUCCAUUGUGCAAAAUUCCCCACUGCAGCCUCCCGUAGG
rnacentral:rRNA from 1 species